UACGUAGGUGGCAAGCGUUUGUCCGGAUUUAUUGGGUUUAAAGGGUGCGUAGGCGGCUUUGUAAGUCAGUGGUGAAAUAUGGCAGCUCGAACUGUCAGGGUGCCAUUGAUACUGCGGAGCUUGAGUACAGAUGAGGUAGGCGGAAUUGACGGUGUAGCGGUGAAAUGCUUAGAUAUCGUCAAGAACACCGAUAGCGAAGGCGCUUACUAGGCUGUAACUGACGCUGAGGCACGAAAGUGUGGGGAUCAAACAGG
rnacentral:rRNA from 1 species